rnacentral:rRNA from 1 species
CUGCAGCCCGAGUGGUGAUCGAUUUUAUUGAGCCUAAAACGUCCGUAGCCGGUUUAGUAAAUGCCUGGGUAAAUCGUGCCGCUCAACGGUACGAAUUCUGGGUAGACUGCUAAGCUUGAGACCGGGAGAGGCUAGAGGUACUCCUGGGGUAGAGGUGAAAUUCUGUAAUCCUAGGGGGACCACCAGUGGCGAAGGCGUCUAGCUAGAACGGGUCUGACGGUGAGGGACGAAGCCCUGGGGCGCAAACCGGAUUAGAUACCCGAGUAGUCC